GAUGAACGCUAGCGGCAGGCUUAAUACAUGCAAGUCGUGGGGCAGCAUGAGUGUAGCAAUACAUUUGAUGGCGACCGGCAAACGGGUGCGGAACACGUACACAACCUUCCUAUAAGUGGGGAAUAGCCCAGAGAAAUUUGGAUUAAUACCCCGUAACAUAAUGAUGUGGCAUCACAUUAUUAUUAUAGCUUCGGCGCUUAUUGAUGGGUGUGCGGCUGAUUAGAUAGUUGGCGGGGUAACGGCCCACCAAGUCUACGAUCAGUAGCUGAUGUGAGAGCAUGAUCAGCCAAACGGGCACUGAGACACGGGCCCGACUCCUACGGGGGGCAGCAGUAAGGAAUAUUGGUCAAUGGACGCAAGUCUGAACCAGCCAUGCCGCGGGAAGGAUUAAGGUCCUCUGGAUUGUAAACUUCUUUUAUCUGGGACGAAAAAAGGCGAUUCUUCGUCACUUGACGGUACCAGAUGAAUAAGCACCGGCUAACUCCGUGCCAGCCGCCGCCGUAAUAC
rnacentral:rRNA from 1 species